CCUACGGGGGGCAGCAGUGAGGAAUAUUGGUCAAUGGGCGGGAGCCUGAACCAGCCAAGUCGCGUGAGGGAAGACGGUCCUAUGGAUUGUAAACCUCUUUAGGCGGGGAGCAAUGCCGGGCACGCGUGCCCGGAGGGAGAGUACCCGCAGAAUAAGCAUCGGCUAACUCCGUGCCAGCAGCCGCGGUAAUACGGAGGAUGCGAGGGUUAUCCGGAUUUAUUGGGUUUAAGGGGUGCGUAGGCGGAUUUUUAAGUCAGCGGUAAAAUGUCCGGGCUCAACCCGGGCCGGCCGUUGAAACUGGGGAGCUUGAGUGGGCGAGAAGUAUGCGGAAUGCGUGGUGUAGCGGUGAAAUGCAUAGAUAUCACGCAGAACUCCGAUUGCGAAGGCAGCAUACCGGCGCCCGACUGACGCUGAGGCACGAAAGCGUGGGGAUCGAACAGGAUUAGAUACCCGAGUAGUC
rnacentral:rRNA from 1 species